AUCUUGCCUGAUGGGAAAGAGAAAUGGCCAGAAAGUGUUGGUUUUAGGAGGAGAAGUGCGGUAGUGGACAGCAAGCCGUUGGGUAUUGGUGUUGUUUUCACCUUCCAUUUGCAGUGUGAGAUGACUACCUGGAAAUGCCAAAAUCUUUGUCGAUGGAGAAGAUCGUUAUCCAGAGGAAUGUGCUAGUUAUGGGAUAUGGUCACUUUUAAAGUCUGUUCCUUGGCCUGCCUUGGGAUUUCUGCCUUAGCUUGGCUACAUAACAGCAGUCCGUUGAAGUAGGAGUGCUUUUAAUGUGGGAGGCUUUGGGAGAAGAGGGGAGCUUGCAGGAGACGGGCAUCUUGAGAGCAUAUAAGCUGUUAUUAACUGUGACUGUGCCAAAAGAUGGGAUUGAGAAGAAAACAAUGCUAGCAAGCUGUGGAGAAACAGUUUUACUGCUUUAUUUUUUUCUUUUGAUUUGGUGGUAAGUACCUAACUGGAUUUCAGUAAGGUGCUGUUGUGCUACAGUGGUUACAGAAAUCAUUGUUGGCUGUGUUGCUUAUUUUGGAUUUUAAAAUAUUCCAGUGGCAGGACCAGCCUAUCCCUGGGAUUUUUCAUUUAAAUUUAUGAUGUUUAUUCAGCUCUUAAUUGUGCAAAUUAGAAUAAUUAUAAAGUGUGAUUAUAUGCAUACUCAGUGACUGUUUUUAAGAGGCUAGCUGAAAUUUUAGGAAUUUGUUUUAUUAGCCUUGUGUCUUUCUGGUGCAAGCGUCCUUUCUUCAUGCUGCUGAUCUGCAAAGCAAACAUCGUAAACUGCCACAGCAGGAAGCAAUUUUUGCAGAGGCUUAUCUGAGUGAAUCAAUCUUUAAUAAGGCAGGAGGCUCUUCAAUAACUCAGACUAAUUAGGACUGAUUUGUUGAGUUAUCGGAGAGUGAGACAACCCACCCUAAGCAGAGCAACUUCUCUCUGCUCUGGACUUUGAUAAGGACAGGAGGGCAUGUAUGUAGUAAGCUGUUACAUGGACAGAGCAGAGAGGAGACUACAUGGAAAAAGUAACUGAAAAAAAACCCUAGUAGGAUAGAAGAAUGAAGGACGGGAAUAAAACCAACUUCUUUUUUCUAGUUCCUCAGAUGGUGCCACCUUAAACUGUGGAGUUGUAAACCCACGAUCACCAAAGUGAAAGGUUUUCAACAGCUCAGAACAAAAAAUGUCAACUCAUAGCCAGAGCUUCUGCAGGGCACAACAGCAGCUUGAUGUGUGCAAUGAGCUUAGGAUGCGCCUGUGUUUUCUUGUGUUCUGCAAUCCAAGAUGCACAAGUAAAUAUCAAGUUUAUCCUCUCUGGAUGUGACAGUCUUAAUGAUCCGUCCUCUGUCAAGAUGACCAUUCCAGCUUUGUAAAUUUGGACUCUGCGCUCCUGGAUUUUCACCCAAACCACUAAGACAUGCUAAAAUGUGUGUAUGCUCAAAGAUUUGAACAUGGUUGAGUCAUUUGGCAGGAAAUGUGAAUUUUUGUUCACCUGACAAAAAACCCACUUAAUUUAGGUACAUUGAAAGUUUGCAAAGUGGUUGAGAUUUUGCAUGGAAAGCAUGGGAGAUCUUAUACCCUGUCUUGUGAGUACACAGUGAAUCAUGGUAUCUAUUCUGGGAACAGUGUUCCACUUCUCAGCUGGUUGGGGAACAUCUUUCUGUAUACGAAGCAAAGCAAGUAAGAAAAUACAAAACAAAGAACUCAUGUCUUCUGUACCUGGAACAUACAGCCUGUAUCUAAGCUUCAGUCACACCCAGAAAGGAAAGAUGAGGAAACUCAAACGAGCUUGUAAAAAUAACUUUUUCUAUCUAAAGAGCAUGUAAGGGUUAUUUUAAAUUUAAAAUUAAACCUACCUUAAGGGUAAAAGCAAUGAUGUAUUUACUGUAGGACAAUAAAUAUCUAUAGUAUUAUCAGCUCUUUUCAGGCAUUUUGGUAUUAAUUUCUCGUUGAUCUGUGAGAGUUUGAAUCAAAAAGUUGGGUGGCAAGACACAAAGCUUCCUGUGGUGAUGUCACUGUGUCUGGUAGAGAAAUAUGUUGCACCCUGCAGAAGUUCACUGAAGUUAUGAAGGAUGGGACCUGAGACUGCUUGCUAGUUUAAGAAUUAACUUUUUCAAUAAAGAGCUUUAGAACUUUUAUCUCAAUAUUUAGUUUCAAGAGUAACUUGCUUUGAAUGUUUUCUCUUGUGGCUCCUGUGUUCAGCAAUUGUGAGAGGUCCAAAAGUAGGUUUGACUGGCCUGUUUAGAACACUAAUACUUGCAUUAAAAAAAAUCCACUAAACCAAACCACAACUUAAUAAACUCUUAGGUGAUUUGUUAAGGCUUAGCUUGAGGAUUGUCUUUUUAUAUUUAAUUGCAGCAAAUUAUAUUCCUUGAGGGGUUUAUAUUUUAAGAAGAUAAGCUCCGAUUUAUCCCCCCUUUUUUCCAACUGUUCUAGUUUAUUCCAAAUUAACAAUCAGUUUUCUUCUGUCAAUUUUUUAGACACUCAAGAAGAUAAAAGGACUGCAUAGGCUUGACAGCUUUUCAGAGAGAAGAAAUUUGAUUUUGUUUUGGUUUCUAUUGCCCCUAGUCUCUACAUGUUUGUUUAUACAGACAGGCAAUUUUUGGCCUCGUUGCUGGAAAUCAUGAUGCAUGGUGGCAAAACCAAGUUGAGACCUGAGUCUCAAAAUUGUUUAUUAAUCCAGCAUCACCAGCACCUUUUAGUGUGAAACUGUUUAUGCUUUGCUCUGCUGUUGGGAUAAAGGACGGCUGGAGGGCACAGCAACUUGGAAGUAGGAGCCCAGGAUUUGGGAUGGAAAGGGGAUUUUAAGUGUGGUCUACCAUGUUUCCUACUUUCCUGGUAGGAGCAGAGCUAACUGCGUCUCUUUCCCCCCACCUACAGCAGGUUUGCAAGGGGGGAAAGAGUGGUUCUGAGCUUUGAAGUUGUUCCUUUCCUCCCUUCCUUCACUUUUAAUUAUCUCUGCCCCAAUAAUCUUCCAGAUAGUGACAGUAAGAGGAGAGCCUUGUCAGCUUCUGCAGGAGGCCUGGCCAGUUAAUCUUUCUUGUAGAGAUAAGAAGUGUAGGAAGAGUUUUACUGACCUAAGCACCUGGGGUUUCAGAGUUUAAAAAAUAGAUGCAUUGGUAUGGGAUAAGAAGUUGCACCUUACCCAGACAAAUGGUAUAACCCCCAGGUGGUGCAGUGCUGACUUAUGGGGGCUUUUUCUGUCCUUGUAGCAUUUGUGUGAGAUCUGAUGUUGGCAUUGUCCUGCUCUGUCCUCAUUUGCUGUGAAGUGAGGAGGGGACAGGAAGCGAAAGCCUUGUAUUCAACUAAUGUAGUGGUGUUGGGAUUGCUGAAUUGGGAGGAUUUCCUGGCCUUUCUUGUUUUUUUGGAAAGAAGAAAACAAAACUUUCAGACAAAAAAAAAUAAAAAUCCUUGUUCUGUUUGGCUCUUCCCUUCCCACUCCCAACCACUUCUGCCUUGUGCAUCGCCAGCCUGGGGUGGAAUGUUUCCAGGCUCCUUUUUGAAGAUAUUUAUAAAUAAAUUGAGCUCCAUAUGUAUGGAUUUUUUCCCCCAAUGAUUUCUUUACUGUACGCCAUUGUAUUUCUGUAUAAUUGAUCUAUGCAUGGCAACUUGCAUCUAGGGAGGGAAGUUGCAGAUGAGUUCGGCCUGUGCUGUGCAAGCAUGGAGAAAGGAAAUAAAAAAAUAGUUUGACAAUAGCAGUGAAAGCUGUGGAGAGAAACUUUAAAAAAAACCAACAAGUUAGUUUUAACUUGCUUUGAAACAAUAAGAAUAAAUGUGCUACAUAACUAUUAGAAACUAACGUAGAGUGGGGAAAUAGCAGACAAAUUUCCCUCGUCUAACCUCAAUCUGCCCAGCAAAAUUGAGCCUUAAUUUUAUAAAUAUCAAUAAAUCAAGAAGGGUAAAGGCACUUUUAAGUUGUGAGUAUUUUAUCAAGAAGAAAAAGCUUU